UUAGACAAAUAUGCCACCAGCCUCUCC
rnacentral:piRNA from 1 species